GACGAACGCUGGCGGCGUGCUUAACACAUGCAAGUCGAACGAAGAGCGAUGGAAGCUUGCUUCUAUCAAUCUUAGUGGCGAACGGGUGAGUAACGCGUAAUCAACCUGCCCUUCAGAGGGGGACAACAGUUGGAAACGACUGCUAAUACCGCAUACGAUCUAAUCUCGGCAUCGAGGAUAGAUGAAAGGUGGCCUCUACAUGUAAGCUAUCACUGAAGGAGGGGAUUGCGUCUGAUUAGCUAGUUGGAGGGGUAACGGCCCACCAAGGCGAUGAUCAGUAGCCGGUCUGAGAGGAUGAACGGCCACAUUGGGACUGAGACACGGCGCAGACUCCUACGGGAGGCAGCAGUGGGGAAUCUUCCGCAAUGGACGAAAGUCUGACGGAGCAACGCCGCGUGAGUGAUGACGGCCUUCGGGUUGUAAAGCUCUGUUAAUCGGGACGAAAGGCCUUCUUGCGAAUAGUGAGAAGGAUUGACGGUACCGGAAUAGAAAGCCACGGCUAACUACGUG
rnacentral:rRNA from 1 species